UCGGCAAUGGGAGGAAACUCUGACCGAAAGCAACGCCGCGUGAAUGACGAAAAAGUACUUUGGUAUGUAAAGUUCUUUUAUCAAGGAAGAAAAGCAAAAUGGCGAACCAUUUGUUUGCCGGUACUUGAUGAAUAAGCCCCGGCUAAUUAUGUGCCAGCAGCCGCGGUUAGACAUAAGGGGCAAGUGUUAUCCGGAAUUAUUGGGCGUAAAGGGUGGCGGAGGCGGUCUAGUAAGUCAGUGGUGUGAAUGGCAACGCUUAACGUUGUCCGGCUAUUGAAACUGCUAAACUUGAGUUAGAUAGAGGCGAGUGGAAUUCCAUGUGUAGCGGUAAAAUGCGUAAAUAUAUGGAGGAACACCAGAGGCGUAGGCGGCUCGCUGGGUCUUAACUGACGCUGAGGCACGAAAGCGUGGGGAGCAAACAGGAUUAGAUACCCUGGUAGUCCACGCCGUAAACGAUGAGUACUAAGUGUCGGGUUAAACCGGUACUGAAGUUAACACAUUAAGUACUCCGCCUGAGUAGUACGUACGCAAGUAUGAAACUUAAAGGAAUUGACGGGACUCCGCACAAGCGGUGGAUCAUGUUGUUUAAUUCGAAGAUACCCGAAAAACCUUACCAGGUCUUGACAUGAUUUUGCAAAAUGAUAGCUAAUAUCGUGGAGGUUACCAGAAUUACACAGGUGGUGCAUGGUUGUCGUCAGCUCGUGUCGUGAGAUGUUAGGUUAAGUCUGAAUGUCUAAAACGAGCGAAACCCUUAUCGUUAGUUGCCAGCACGUUAUAAUGGGUAGGACUUUAACGAGAAACUGCCAAGUGAUAAAUUGGAGGAAGGUGAGGAUCACGUACAAAUCAGCAUGCCCCUUAUGACCUGGGCUACAAACGUGAUACAAUGGCUGUUACAAAGAGUAGCUGAAA
rnacentral:rRNA from 1 species